rnacentral:tRNA from 1 species
AGAGUGGUAGCAGAGUUGGCUAGCGUAGCUGCUUUGGUUCCAAGGGGUCCUGGGUUCAAAUCCCAGCUGCCCAU